AGUGAACGCUGGCGGUAGGCCUAACACAUGCAAGUCGAACGGCAGCACAGUAAGAGCUUGCUCUUACGGGUGGCGAGUGGCGGACGGGUGAGGAAUACAUCGGAAUCUACUUUUUCGUGGGGGAUAACGUAGGGAAACUUACGCUAAUACCGCAUAUGACCUACGGGUGAAAGCAGGGGAUCUUCGGACCUUGCGCGAUUGAAUGAGCCGAUGUCGGAUUAGCUAGUUGGCGGGGUAAAGGCCCACCAAGGCGACGAUCCGUAGCUGGUCUGAGAGGAUGGUCAGCCACACUGGAACUGAGACACGGUCCAGACUCCUACGGGAGGCAGCAGUGGGGAAUAUUGGACAAUGGGCGCAAGCCUGAUCCAGCCAUACCGCGUGGGUGAAGAAGGCCUUCGGGUUGUAAAGCCCUUUUGCUGGGAAAGAAAAGCAGCAGGUUAAUACCCCGCUGUUCUGACGGUACCCAAAGAAUAAGCACCGGCUAACUUCGUG
rnacentral:rRNA from 1 species